ensembl:lncRNA
UUUUUUUUAUUUUUUUUUGGGGGUACCAAAUUACUUUAUUUGAAGGAAUGGUACUAAAGAAAGAACUUAAGUAGAUGUUUUGUUACAACUUAUAGAAAAGAUGAAGGUAACCCAAAUAUGCAUGCACUGCCUUGGUGACCAGGGAAGUCACCCGUGUGGCUGUGGGGAGCCAGCCUGAGGCUUAGCUGUCACUGUGUCCCAGGGUGUGCUUGUCAAAGAGGUACUCUGCCAUGCCCGAUCCAGGGGCCCCCAUCUUGCGCAGGUUGGUUAUGUGGUCACCCAAUUCUUUGAUGGCUUCCACCUGCUCAUUCAGGUAAUGAGUCUCAAUGAAAUCACACAGAUGGGGAUCAUUUUUUUCAGUGGCCAGUUUGUGCAGUUCCAGUAGCGACUGAUUCACACUUCUUUCCAAGCACAGCGCACAUUCCAUUGCAUUCAGCCCAUUCUCCCAGUCAUCACGGUCUGGUUUCUUGAUAUCCUGAAGGAAGAUUCGGCCGCCUCGCUGGUUCUGCAGCUUCAUCAGUCUCUCAGCAUGUUCCCUCUCCUCAUGAGAUUGGUGAAGAAAGUAGACAUAGGAGGCGUAGAGCUCCAGGUUGAUCUGGCGGUUGAUGGCGGCCUCCGAGUCCUGGUGGUAGUUCUGGCGCACCUGCGAGGGGGAUGCGGUCGUCAUGGUGGGCGGCUGAAAAGGGGCGGUGGUGGUGGUGGCGGCGGCGACGGCUGAGCGGCGCUGGAGUGGCGGCGGGGACCUUGGGCCGGUCGGAGGGCGCUGUCAAGUGGUGACGAAGGCUGGCUCUGAGUGGCCGGCCGGGGUGAGGGGGGGACGAGCAGCCGGGUUCCGUCCAAGCACUGUUGAAGCAGGAAACCGCGGCGACUCUCCGCGAAGACUGUCAUGA